rnacentral:rRNA from 1 species
GACGAACGCUGGCGGCGUGCCUAAUACAUGCAAGUCGAGCGCAGGAAAUCGACGGAACCCUUCGGGGGGAAGUCGACGGAAUGAGCGGCGGACGGGUGAGUAACACGUAAAGAACCUGCCCUCAGGUCUGGGAUAACCACGAGAAAUCGGGGCUAAUACCGGAUGGGUCAUCGGACCGCAUGGUCCGAGGAUGAAAGGCGCUUCGGCGUCGCCUGGGGAUGGCUUUGCGGUGCAUUAGCUAGUUGGUGGGGUAAUGGCCCACCAAGGCGACGGUGCAUAGCCGACCUGAGAGGGUGAUCGGCCACACUGGGACUGAGCCACGGCCCAGACUCCUACGGGAGGCAGCAGUAGGGAAUCUUCCACAAUGGACGAAAGUCUGAUGGAGCAACGCCGCGUGAACGAUGAAGGCCUUCGGGUCGUAAAGUUCUGUUGUACGGGAAGAACAAGUGCCGCAGGCAAUGGCGGCACCUUGACGGUACCUUGCGAGAAAGCCACGGCUAACUACGUGCCAGCCGCCGCGGUAA